rnacentral:lncRNA from 1 species
UUUUUCUCUGGUAAUUUUGACAAAUUGUCUUCAAAACGUUUUCUACGGCGAUAAAAAUAAUCUCUCCUAGGCCAUAAUUUUUGCUAUUCUUCAAUCAGGGUUUGUUUUGAUUUAUUUUCUUCGACAUUUUGAAGUAAAUGUUUUGAAAAUAUAAUGUCAGGCGAAAUAUAGCGAUUUUUAAGUACGUAUUAGGUAUGUGGUUGGCCACGAAAUUAAACCACAGCACAGUACAUUUUCUGAUGUAUUCUACAAACGGAAUCUCGCUCGCUGCGUGAAUUGGUGACAGAAGUGAGAACGAGCAAGAAGCUUCGACAUGUGUUUUGAAUAAAAGCAAAGGAUUUCAUCAUUUUUAAGAUACUCCAAUACUGCUAAUACUGAUAAUUGAAGUACAUACAGAAAUAUUUCCUAAGACAGAUGGAACCAGGAAUUUUAACUGCUUACAGCUAAAGAGCUAAGGUUUUCCAUCUUUAAACCGUGAAGAAUUCACAAAAAUUGCUGAAUUCGAAAGUCUAAGGGAAAAAAGAAGAAAAAGUCCAAUCUCGUCAAAACUAUAAAAAAUAUUAAUCAAAAACUGAUGGAUCUAUUCGAGAAAAGCUCCAACCACGGGCGCUUUGUAUUCAACAUCAUAUUUGUAACACUUCUUGGAAUAACGCUUUUGUUUCUACUAGUUCUUGGAAUCGUUCUGUUAUGCAUGCGAUUCCGGCGCUACCGUGAGAGGCGCCGCGAAAGACUAAAUGGAUACACACCCCCAAACAGCGUUGGGCAUACCAGACCGCUUGCCACAGAUAUUGUUCUUGGAAUAUAUAACGGGCGUGACAGCUAUGUUUACGGAGAUGAGAUUUUUUCUCCGGACACUGAUCAGAAUGCCGAAGGCCCGUCGACGUUGUACGGUGAAGAUACGACGUCAACGAAUGAUGAUCGUGCACGAUUUUAUGGUGCUAAUGGAUGGAGAGGAUUUGCAUAUUAGAUUAUAAUUGCCGACAACUGAAAAAGUCCCGUUAGUAACUUAGUCACUACCUACUAAUAGAAAACGAACGUUGUGUGACUCUAAAAAUGGCUUUUCUCUUGGAAUAAUCAAAGAGCAGGCAAUCUUGUAUUAUCCAAUCAAAUCACAGCGCUUGAACUCGAAAGCCAUUUGAGUGGAGUCACGUAAUACUGGUUUCUAGUGAAAUGGCAUUACAGGCGUUCCUGGUUGCGAACAGGGAGGAUUGGGGCAGAAGAGAGGAGAACCAACAAAUAUGCAAUGUGACUGCUAGCAGAGAAAGCCUGCAAAGUGAAUCUUUCUUCAUCCCGACAAAAUUCCAUUGGAAGUUAUAUUAGCAGGGCAAACUUUUAUCCUGAAGUUAGAACUGUCGAUUACAAAGUAAUGCGAAGUUUAUUUAAUUUUUUAAAAAUCAAAAUUGUGAAAUGUUGGCGUUUAUGAAUCCGCGUGCGCAACAUUAUGUGAAAUGGGGAAUGCAUCGUUUAGAAAAUACGUGUGUACCUGACUUCUAUCCCUCAGCCAAUCAGGAGCUACUGUUCGAAGUCACCUGACUGGAACUGUAAAGAACUGAAGCAUCAUCUUUUAGGGACAGGAAAAGAAGAGAUAUUUUACUCAAAAAAAAAAAAAAAAA